rnacentral:rRNA from 1 species
UACGUAGGGGGCUAGCGUUGUCCGGAAUCAUUGGGCGUAAAGCGCGUGUAGGCGGCUCGGUAAGUCCGCUGUGAAAGUCCAGGGCUCAACCCUGGGAUGCCGGUGGAUACUGUCGGGCUCGAGUCCGGAAGAGGCGAGUGGAAUUCCUGGUGUAGCGGUGAAAUGCGCAGAUAUCAGGAGGAACACCAAUGGCGAAGGCAGCUCGCUGGGACGUGACUGACGCUGAGACGCGAAAGCGUGGGGAGCGAACAGG